rnacentral:lncRNA from 1 species
AUGACCGUGGCUUACUGCAGCUUCAACCUCUCAGGAUUAGGACUUUACUGAAGACUCUAAGGAGGACCUGUAUCUGUUGGGAUCCUCAGGGCAAGCCACAGAAACAAGCUUUGGAUACUAGAAGCAGAAAAUGGAGAUAUUGAAGACUAUUGUGGAGUUUACUGUGAGCCAGAGAACCAGGCUGGGGGGCUGUAUCACUUAGAAUGAGAUCCAAACUCACACCAUAGUUCCAUCCUUGAGGUUGCCAUGUUGCUGCCACCCCUCCUGCCACCCCACCACUGAAGCUUUGGAUGCUGGAUUCUGGGCACAGCAGGGAGAAGUGUUGCUUAUUACCAUUUUAGUAUGUUUUCUU